rnacentral:rRNA from 1 species
AUGCAAGUCGAACGAAGUAGCAAUACUUAGUGGCAGACGGGUGAGUAACAUGUAGGUAUCUUCCCUAUGGUGAGGAAUAACACGAGGAAACUUGUGCUAAUACCUCAAAAGUCUUUACGGAGAAAGCUUUAUGCGCCAUUGGAUGAGCCUGCACUUGAUUAGUUUGUUGGUGGGGUAAUGGCCUACCAAGACUAUGAUCAAUAGCCGAUUUGAGAGGAUGAUCAGCCACAUUGGGACUGAGACACGGCCCAAACUCCUACGGGAGGCAGCAGUAGGGAAUCUUGCACAAUGGGGGAAACCCUGAUGCAGCGAUGCCGCGUGAGUGAAGAAGGCCUUUGGGUUGUAAAGCUCUUUCGUCGGGGAAGAAAAUGACUGUACCCGAAUAAGAAGGUCCGGCUAACUUCGUGCCAGCAGCCGCGGUAAUACGAAGGGACCUAGCGUAGUUCGGAAUUACUGGGCUUAAAGAGUUCGUAGGUGGUUAAAAAAAGUUGGUGGUGAAAUCCCAGAGCUUAACUCUGGAACUGCCAUCAAAACUUUUUAGCUAGAGUAUGAUAGAGGAAAAGCAGAA